rnacentral:rRNA from 1 species
GAUGAACGCUGGCGGCGUGCCUAAUACAUGCAAGUCGAGCGAACAGACGAGGAGCUUGCUCCUCUGACGUUAGCGGCGGACGGGUGAGUAACACGUGGAUAACCUACCUAUAAGACUGGGAUAACUUCGGGAAACCGGAGCUAAUACCGGAUAAUAUAUUGAACCGCAUGGUUCAAUAGUGAAAGACGGUUUUGCUGUCACUUAUAGAUGGAUCCGCGCCGCAUUAGCUAGUUGGUAAGGUAACGGCUUACCAAGGCAACGAGGCGUAGCCGACCUGAGAGGGUGAUAGGCCAGACUGGAACUGAGACACGGUCCAGAAUCCUACGGGAGGCAGCAGUAGGGAAUCUUACGCAAUGGGCGAAAGCAUGACGGAGCAACGCCGCGUGAGUGAUGAAGGUCUUCGGAUCGUAAAACUCUGUUAUUAGGUAAGAACAAAUGUGUAAGUAACUUUGCACGUCUUGACGGUACCUAAUCAGAAAGCCACGGCUAACUACGUG